CGCGGCCCCGCCCACCGCCCCCCUCAGCGCGGCGCGAGCGCGGCCCGCCGAUUUUUUUGGGGGUUUUUUGGGCUAUGAAGUGGCUCCUUUAAGGGUUCUCCCAAGAGGUGUAAAACUAUACUGCACCGGUGCGGUUUGUUUCGGCUCUCCGAGACUUUGGGGUUCCCAAAGCGGUACAGCGGUCUCCCAGCAGUGCCGGAGCCCGCUGGCAGUCCCUCGGAUUUUUCUGAAUCAACUCCGAUGUUUUUAAUAACAGCAGCGUCUUUAGGGUCUGUCUCUCAAGAGAUGUAAACUGCGCGGUGUUAAUCGUUUCAGCUCUUAAGGCCGGCGUUCCCAAUAAGCCUCCCGGCAGUGCCACGAAGCCCUCCUGCCACUAGGGAGGUUCUACAAUCAUAAUACCAUGGAAUGAGCAAGGAUUGUCAUUAUUGGAUUGGGAAAGUAAACCACCAUAGAUUUAGCAUCACCAAGCUCAAGAGGGGAUAACUGAGAUGUGCAGCUUUCCUGCUGACACCUCCAUUUCCACCUAAGUACUGCAAGAGUGCACAUCACCUUACAAACACAGAGAAGAUGACACAGGCCUGCCCCGAGGAGCUUACAAUUCAACUUUGACAAACACCACAAAAAAUUCUGUGGACAGCAAAAGGUGGGAGAGAUGGAGCAUGAAAAGACCAGGCUUUGCUGUGGGAGUUGAACAUUUUAGUUGCUGUAGCAGCAUUGCAGUUAAGUUGGAGCCUCAGCAAGAUUUGCUCUUUUUUUUUUUUGCAUA